rnacentral:rRNA from 1 species
CCUACGGGGGGCUGCAGUGGGGAAUUUUGCGCAAUGGGCGAAAGCCUGACGCAGCAACGCCGCGUGGGGGAUGACGGCCUUCGGGUUGUAAACCUCUUUCAGCUCCGACGAAGCGCAAGUGACGGUAGGAGCAGAAGAAGCACCGGCCAACUACGUGCCAGCAGCCGCGGUAAUACGUAGGGUGCAAGCGUUGUCCGGAAUUAUUGGGCGUAAAGAGCUCGUAGGCGGUUUGUUGCGUCGGCUGUGAAAACUCGGGGCUCAACUCCGAGCUUGCAGUCGAUACGGGCAGACUAGAGUUCGGCAGGGGAGACUGGAAUUCCUGGUGUAGCGGUGAAAUGCGCAGAUAUCAGGAGGAACACCGGUGGCGAAGGCGGGUCUCUGGGCCGAUACUGACGCUGAGGAGCGAAAGCGUGGGGAGCGAACAGGAUUAGAUACCCUAG